GACGAACGCUGGCGGCGUGCUUAACACAUGCAAGUCGAGCGAUGAAGCUCCUUCGGGAGUGGAUUAGCGGCGGACGGGUGAGUAACACGUGGGUAACCUGCCUCAUAGAGGGGAAUAGCCUUCCGAAAGGAAGAUUAAUACCGCAUAAGAUUGUAGUACCGCAUGGUACAGCAAUUAAAGGAGUAAUCCGCUAUGAGAUGGACCCGCGUCGCAUUAGCUAGUUGGUGAGGUAACGGCUCACCAAGGCGACGAUGCGUAGCCGACCUGAGAGGGGGAUCGGCCACAUUGGGACUGAGACACGGCCCAGACUCCUACGGGAGGCAGCAGUGGGGAAUAUUGCACAAUGGGGGAAACCCUGAUGCAGCAACGCCGCGUGAGUGAUGACGGUCUUCGGAUUGUAAAACUCUGUCUUCAGGGACGAUAAUGACGGUACCUGAGGAGGAAGCCACGGCUAACUACGUGCCAGCAGCCGCCGUAA
rnacentral:rRNA from 1 species